rnacentral:rRNA from 1 species
ACGAGCUGAAGGCCUCUGGGUCACCUCCCACCCGUGUUUAUUUUACCUUGUUGCUUCGGCGGGCCCGCCUUAACUGGCCGCCGGGGGGCUUACGCCCCCGGGCCCGCGCCCGCCGAAGACACCCUCGAACUCUGUCUGAAGAUUGAAGUCUGAGUGAAAAUAUAAAUUAUUUAAAACUUUCAACAACGGAUCUCUUGGUUCCGGCAUCGAUGAAGAACGCAGCGAAAUGCGAUACGUAAUGUGAAUUGCAAAUUCAGUGAAUCAUCGAGUCUUUGAACGCACAUUGCGCCCCCUGGUAUUCCGGGGGGCAUGCCUGUCCGAGCGUCAUUGCUGCCCUCAAGCCCGGCUUGUGUGUUGGGCCCCGUCCCCCGAUCUCCGGGGGACGGGCCCGAAAGGCAGCGGCGGCACCGCGUCCGGUCCUCGAGCGUAUGGGGCUUUGUCACCCGCUCUGUAGGCCCGGCCGGCGCUUGCCGAUCAACCCAAAUUUUUAUCCAGGUUGACCUCGGAUCAGGUAGGGAUACCCGCUGAACUUAAGCAUAUCA